rnacentral:lncRNA from 1 species
UGGGAUCCAAGAAAUGCGGAAGUAUGAGAUUAUUCAAAAUGAAACAAUAAUAACAAAAACAACUUUAUGAAAUGUUUUGUACUAUGUAGCAUGAUAAAUAAGGAAUAAUCUCAUUAAUUUCUACUGAUAUUUGGACGUUGGAUGAUGCUCAUAUUUAUUUUCAAUUCAUUCCCUAAAUGUGAUACCAACAUGAAUUAAUUAAUUCUAAACUACUUGUUAGAACUAAAUCAAAGUAGGUAAGGGAUCAACUUGAUCGCAUGAACCACCUUCGUAGAGCGAAGCUAUACCUUGAGAAUCAAGAUCCUAUGGAUACACAAAAAUUCAUAGUAAUUUAUUUUAUUAAAUCUCAAUCAAUUUUAUAAUGUUUUUUAAUAAUUAAAUUGAAGAAAAUAACAACACUCUUACAAAUUCAACAUUUUUUAAAAUAUGUCAAAAGAUGAGCUCAAAUUCAUGAAGUUCCAUUUUGUAAAAUAUAGAUUAAAAAGUCAAGUAUAAUUAAUGUUUCCCGGGUGAACAAAUCAACCUAGGACAUGACUUUUUAUUUGUUUAAUAUCACGAUGAGAGAGAAGUAGGUGUAGGGAAUUAAAUCGAAUUCCCAACUUGUGAGAAACAAAAAAUAGAGAAAACACACGCCAAAGAAAAGCAAUUACACGCACAAGACAAUAUUUACAUGGUUCGAUAAUUUGCCUACGUCCACGGAGUUGUAGGGAUAUCACUAUUAUCAGGGAAGAAUAUAGAGUACAACCGGCUACAAUAUUUUCUCUCUAUAUAUAAUACGGCAACCACACCACACUAAAAAACCCUAAUUACAAAAGGUGGUUCCUCAAUGGUUUAAACGGGCUCAACAAGCCUCAGUAAAUUUCCCAUUAAAAAGCCAUGCAAUAUUAUUUGGGUUGGGUUGCCAAACCGAAUCAAACAAAACUAGACUCCACAAAGCCCAACAAAUCUCCCACUUGAAGACUAGUUCAAUCACCAACAUCAAACCACUAUCCUCCAAGAAACAAUCCCUCAUCCCUGCAACUCAUCCUCCUGUCCUCAAGCUAGAAGACUAAUUGAAGCUGCGCUCAGCUUCAACUUCUCAAUAGUGACACCCUUAGUCAACAUGUUUGUCGGGUUCUUAGAUCCACAAAUCUUUUCAAGUAUUACCUAUUUAUCUUCAACAAGGUAACGGAUAAAGUGGUAUUUUGUUUGUAUAUGCUUCGACUUUGAAUGAAAAGCCGAAUUUUUGGUAAGAAAAAUUGCACUCUGACUGUCACUGUGUAAAAUGCCCUCAUUCUGCUGGAACCCUUUAACAACUAAUCUAGCCUUGUGACGUUUGCUACCAUCAUGCUCAUUCUUUAUUCUGUAUACCCACUUGUUGUGCAAAGCCUUCUUUCCUAUUGGCAAUUCAGUCAGUUUCCAUGUCUGAUUCCCCAACAAAGAAUCCAUCUCAUCCUUCAUGGCUAACUCCCACUUGCUUGAAUUCUCAUUUUGCAAGGCUUUAUCAUAACACUCUAGCUCACCACCAUUAGUCAACAGGAGAUAAUUUAAAACAGGUGAAUAAUGUUGUGGAGGUCUAAUGUUCCUAGAAGAUCUGCGAACUUCAGCUACAGGUGUACUUAGAUCUACUUGUGAAUUUACAUUCUUCUUAUCUUCUUCACCCCUUUUUUGGACAGUACUUUAAGUCAAUUCAUCAAAGUUGACAAAAUCAGAUUUCUUUUGCUCUAUCUUUGUAACAUCUGACACUACAGUUGACCUUUCCUUGUACAUAACAUGUUCAUUAAAUAUCACAUUUCUACUUCUUAUGAUUUUCCUGUUUUGUUCAUCCCAAAACCUAUAGCCAAAUUUCUCAUCACCAUAGCCAAUGAAAAAACAUAUUUUUUACUUUGCAUCAAGUUUACUACGAGCAUCAAAAUCAAUAUGAACAUAAGAAACACAACCAAAAGCUUUUAAAUGUGAAAACUUCACCUCUUUAUCGCUCCAAACCUUCUCAGGAAGUCUGAACUCCAUGGGAAUUGAUGGUCCUCGGUUCAUCAGGUAAGCUGCAGUGUUAACAGCAUUAGCCCAAAAAGUUUUUGGUAGUCUAGCAUGCAACCUCAUACUUCUAGCACGCUCAUUGAGAGUUCUGUUCAUGCGCUCAGGCACACCAUUCUGUUGUGGUGUUCCAGGAAUAGUCUUCUCCAUCCUAAUUCCCUGUGCAGCACAAUACUUACUGAACCCUCCAUCUAUGUACUCUUCUCCAUUAUCUGACCUCAAACAUUUUACUUUCAAACCUGUUUCUGUAUCAACCAUGACCUUCCACUUCUUAAAAGUUUCAAAUACAUCAUAUUUAAAAUAAACCCAUACUUUUCUACUUGAGUCAUCAAUAAAAGUGAUGUAGUACCUUGAACCUCCAAGGGAUGCAACUGGAAAAGGCCCCCACAAAUCAGUGUGUACUAGUUUCAAUUUUUCAGUCUUCGGUGUCCUGCCAGUUUCAAGAAGCUCACUUUUUUUUGCUUUCCUAAGAUGCAACUUUCACACAUGUCAAAAUCAAUGGACUUCAAUUCUGAUAGUUUUCCUUUUAACAAUAGCAUUUUCAUCCAUUUCUCACUCAUGUGACUAAGUCUACGGUGCCAUAGGCUUGUAUCAGUACUUACAUCAGAAACUGCAAUUGUGUCUCUUAGACAUGAGGUCAUAUACAGAGUACCGGUCUUCUUUCCACGAGCCAAUACCCUAGCUCCCUUUGUAACCUUCCAAGUACCACCAACAAAUAGUAUUGCAUGUCCUUCAUCAUCAAGUUGUCCAACAAAAAUCAGAUUUCUCCUCAGGUCAAGAAUAUGUCCAACUACUUGUUAGAACUGAAUCAAAGUAGAAAAGGGAUCAGCUUGAUCGUAUGAACCACCUCCGUAGAGCGAAGCUAUACCUUGAGGAACAAGAUCCUAUGGAUACACAAAAAUUCAUAGUAAUUUAUUUUAUUAAAUCUCAA